AUUCCUCUGCCAGGGCUGAAAAAAAGUGUAAUUUAACAAGUUUCUUAGAGAAUCAGAAUGUAGCUCAGAAGAAUUUAUUAAGAUUCGAUUAAAUAUUUUUCUUCAUAUGUACACAUAUACACCUAUGACACUUAAAGAACUUUUAUAAAAAAUAGCCUUUAAUCAACUGAAAUAUGUUUAGCUCAGUUAACACGCUGGAUCUUUCAUAUGUUUUUGUUUGGAUCAAUUAAAAAAUAUUAUGUUACUUCAGGAAGCCAAACCAGAACUCAGGAGAGAAAUACUGCAACUAAUAUCAGCAUGAUCUGGAUAAAGCAUUCAUUCUUCCUGGAAAGAAAAAUGGAGUCAGUAUGUACAAAAGUACAGGCGUUAGGCAGAAAGAACAAAAUACUGCCAAAAAACCCAUCAUGAGAAACCCUGAACAAAGAGCUUUAGAAAGUGCUGCACACCAACAACCAGAACAAAAACUUGACUCUCUGUCUCUUGACCAUCCUGACAGCAAAGAGCUUUAUUCACUCCCACCAAAUGGCAAGCAGAAUUACACCUCAGAUGUGAAUUGCAGAGUAAU